AGGCGAACUUCUGGCGCCAUAACCAGUCUGCUUAAUUCGGCUCUCACAGGGCUGUCCAUGCCGGAUCACGAUUUUUUGUUUUGCGUUAAAGUGUUCCUAGGCAUGCUGAUUAAACCUGAUAUGGAGCGAAACAGUCUUGUGUGCAUUCAAUAUUCUGAAUAGUGAAAAUCAACGACCUUGUGAUAUGUAAGUAUAAAUAUACAAUGUUUUUAUGUAUUUAUACGAUUGAGAUCUACAAGAUUCUGCAUAGCUGAAUGAUUAGACUGUUUGAUUUAAACAAUUUAUCGAAAGCAUAAAUAGUGUAGUAUGUUUUGCAAAGUAUGACGUCAUAGGUUUAGCACUGAAUGACGUCAUAAUGUUUUGCCUAUGGUAUCCAAAAUCCUAGAUCCGCCCCUGCAAACAGGACUAAAA